rnacentral:rRNA from 1 species
UACGAAGGGGGCUAGCGUUGUUCGGAAUUACUGGGCGUAAAGGGCGCGUAGGCUGUGCUGUAAGUCAGGCGUGAAAGCCCCGGGCUCAACCUGGGAAUUGCGCUUGAUACUGCGGCGCUGGAAGGUGGGAGAGGAUGGCGGAAUUCCCAGUGUAGAGGUGAAAUUCGUAGAUAUUGGGAAGAACACCGGUGGCGAAGGCGGCCAUCUGGCCCAUUUUGACGCUGAGGCGCGAAAGCGUUGGGGAGCAAACAGG